GAGUUUGAUCUUGGCUCAGAAUGAAUGCUAGCAACAGGCUUAACACAUGCAAGUGGAACGAGCAUGUGAAGAUUUUCAUCUGCAAGUCGCAAACGGGUGAGUAACACGUGAGAAUCUACCUAGCAACUCGACAGAAUUUCAGUAGAUAGUAUUUUUAAAAUGCUUAUAAUACCGAAUAAAAGAGAUGUUCAUUUUUGCCCUCUGCGAAAUUCAUAGGCUCAAUAAAGCUAAGGCGAUUUGCGCUACAAAAAGAGAGCAUAGAAUACAGAUAAAGGCAAAGUUCCGUUGUUAGAUGAGCUCGCGCAAGAUUAGGUAGUUGGUGAGGUAAAAGCUCGACCAAGUCCGAGAUCUUUAGCCAAUUUGAGAGAAUGAUCCGCCACACUGGGACUGAGACACGGCCCAGACACUUUUUAGUGGCAGCAGUGAGGAAUCUUGGACAAUGAACGUAAGUUUGAUCCAGCCAUGUUGCACGGGGGAUGAAAGCUAUUUGGGUUUACAACCCCUAAUUUAAGAAAGAAUCGAAACCGCGACGAUAAGUUGCGAUUGCGAUGAGAGUGGAUAAUGACGUACGCUUAAAAAACAGUCCCGGCUAAAAAGAAACAUUGGCUUAUACGGGAGUGAUCC
rfam:Amborella trichopoda AMTR_V1.0_contig_14602, whole genome shotgun sequence.